CCUGUCAAGAUCUUCAGCAGAUGUUUGAGCAAAAAGUCAUCAUCCUCUUCGUCACUCUUCAUCCGUAUUUGGGGUAACAAGCACCUGCUUCCCACAAGAGACUGGACAGCUGAUGUCAGACCUGCACCUUCCUUGAACAUGUUGGUAUCUUACUCUGUAUUUGUUCACGGUGGUCACCCCAGGGUCUCAGGACUCAAAUUGAGUGCUCUAUGGAUUAAACAGAAAAUGCAGUAUAAACAAGUGUUAUGUUGUCUUCAACAUGUUGGUAACUUACUCUGUAUUUGUUCACGGUGGUCACCCCAGGGUCUCAGGACUCAAAACGAGUGCUCUAUGGAUUGAACAUAAAAUGUAGUAUAAACAAGUGUUAUGUUUUUAAAUGCCACUAAUAAUGUGUUUCUGUUUUCUUUCUCAUUAUGCUAACAAACACUCUUUUACCCCUCAUGUUAGGUAGAUCAACACUCCAACCAUCUGCAUUAGGGACUGAAUAAAGGAUGCCCUCUGUAGCUGGGAAUGUUAGAUCAGGCGGAUCAACAUUCCAUCCAUCUGCAUUAGGAUCUACCUUAGAGACACUCACUGGAGCUGUAAAUGGGAAGCAGGUCACUUACUUUGCAUUCGUCCUUGGUGGUCACCCAAGGGUCUCUAGAGUGAAAAUUACUCAAUCUAUGGAUUAAACAGAAAAUUUAGUUGUAUGAAGUGGUAUGUUGUCUUUAAAUGCCAUUAAAAAUGUGUUUCUGUUUUCUGUCUCAUAUUAAGAAAUACUCUUUAACCUGCCCA